AGGCAUUCUGAAGACCUGAAGUCUAGGCAACGUACGGGAGACGUAGUUCUUCAAUCACAUGACGCCUAGGGGAAAGUCCCCGGAUCUCGGGUAGAAAGUGCCGUGCGCUACUAUGGCGUGCAAUAAUCCCGCCCUGCUGUCCAUAUCAACCCGCCAAGAAGCUCCCAGAGCCGAGCGGCUUGGAUUAGGGCGGGAUCUCUCAUCAGUCACCAUAGUAACUCAGGUAGCGCGGCAACGUCCACGCUAACUAAACGGGGCUCAUUCUCAGAAUGCU
rfam:Xenopus laevis strain J chromosome 1L, whole genome shotgun sequence.